AGGAAUGGCCCUGUGGACCUCUGUGAUGGGACAUCUGGUGGAAUCUCACAGGCAGGUAAGUCAAUAAUGAAUCUCCGAAACAUAAUGAAUUAAAAGCCCAUGAUGGUAUGAGAGUAGUGGACAGAAGGGAUUUCUGAAAAACACUGUUCUGAGGCUUUAAUAUAAAGUGCUGGGGGAAAGUAAGUUCAGUGAAGGAGGGGACUGACUCUUCACAUCUUUUCUUUCUAGUUCUGUGGCAAAGAUGGAUGAAAGCUAAGGUUAGUAUGAAAAUGGCCCUAGUGAGAGAAGUUCGAUGAAAAAGAUAGUGCCACAAUGAUGACAUCAUUUGCUACUCUUGACAGUUGGGGUGACGAUAGCUAUAGACCACCAUUAAUCAUAACUGAGGCACAAAGAAAGAUGAUUGGGGGGCACUUACAGAGUAAGCAGUAUUUACAUAAAGACUUUCUUCCCCAGGACUCAUGAGGAAGCUGGAUAACUGAACAAAGCCAUGUACAAGAAUGGGAAGCCAGAAAAUGGGAUGGUGGAGUUUGAAUCAGGUGGACAGUUCUAAAAGUACAAAUGAUUUCGUAUAAAGGUACCACAUGUGGGUCCCUUUAACUGAAGGCAUGGCAAGCUCCACACAAGGUCCUUCAUUUCUGAAUUUCAAGGUAAGUCAUCUUGUUUUUCUAGAUUGUAAUAUGGCUUGUAACCAGUGAUGUGAUGAUUCUGCCAAAUGAUACAAAGUGAUAUCACCUUUACAACCGUUCCAUUUUAUUUCUGAGGUUACUCUGGUAACAUGUUAGCUUGAACCAUUCUAAGCCAGAUGAGUAAGUUUUUGUUUUCUUAGGGCUCCUCUGACAAGUGGACAGUGCAGUGGGUGCACCUUUUCCAGAGGUGACUGGAUGGAUGCUUGAACAGAAGAUUUGCCAAAUAGACAUUGUGCUGUCAAGAAUUUUACCAUUAAAAGUGCAUUAUUGUAGCA
rnacentral:lncRNA from 1 species